rnacentral:misc_RNA from 1 species
UCAAACUUGGUCAUUUAGAGGAAGUAAAAGUCGUAACAAGGUAACCGUAGGUGAACCUGUGGUUGGAUCAUUACUGAUUAAAUUUGACCAAAGGUUGAGCUCUUUUGUUCCCUUUGUGUCAUCAACACCUGUUGCACAAUUUGUAUUUGGGGUUUUUGAAUUUUUUUUGAAAGCCCCAAAAUUUUAUAUAAACCUUAUAAUUUUUGACUGAAAUCUAUAGUAAAUAGAAACAACUUUUGACAACGGAUCUCUUGGCUCUCGCAUCGAUGAAGAACGCAGC